rnacentral:rRNA from 1 species
UUGAUCCUGGCUCAGGACGAACGCUGGCGGCGUGCUUAACACAUGCAAGUCGAGCGGAAAGGCCCCUUCGGGGGUACUCGAGCGGCGAACGGGUGAGUAACACGUGAGCAACCUGCCCCUGACACUGGGAUAAGCCUGGGAAACCGGGUCUAAUACCGGAUAUGACCUGCCUUCGCAUGGGGGUGGGUGGAAAGGUUGGCUCGUUUGGGUCUUCCGGUCAGGGAUGGGCUCGCGGCCUAUCAGCUUGUUGGUGGGGUAACGGCCUACCAAGGCGACGACGGGUAGCCGGCCUGAGAGGGCGACCGGCCACACUGGGACUGAGACACGGCCCAGACUCCUACGGGAGGCAGCAGUGGGGAAUAUUGCGCAAUGGGCGAAAGCCUGACGCAGCGACGCCGCGUGGGGGAUGAAGGCCUUCGGGUUGUAAACCUCUUUCGGCAGGGACGAAGUUGACGUGUACCUGCGGAAGAAGCGCCGGCUAACUACGUGCCAGCAGCCGCGGUAAUACGUAGGGCGCGAGCGUUGUCCGGAAUUAUUGGGCGUAAAGAGCUCGUAGGCGGCUGGUCGCGUCUGCCGUGAAAGCCCGCGGCUUAACCGUGGGUCUGCGGUGGAUACGGGCCGGCUAGAGGCAGGCAGGGGCAAGUGGAAUUCCUGGUGUAGCGGUGAAAUGCGCAGAUAUCAGGAGGAACACCGGUGGCGAAGGCGGCUUGCUGGGCCUGUCCUGACGC